CUCUCUCUCUCUCUCUCUCGCGUUCUCCCCCUUGUACUGAUAUAUCUCUUUCUAUAUAUAUAUAGUCACUCCGACAGAUACAUAGGUAGAUAUCGCAGCAUUUACUCUCUAUCUAUCUGAAGUCAUAUCAUCAUCUUCUUCUUCUCUAUCUCUGUACUUCUUUAUCUCUCACUUUUUUCUGUGGUGUUGGGUUCAAGAAGGCUGCAAAUGGAUGGUCUGCCCUCUGGCUAUCGCCCCAACGUUGGCGUUUGUCUUAUCAACUCUGAUAAUCAGAUUUUUGUGGCUUCUAGAUUAAAUGUUCCAGGAGCAUGGCAGAUGCCUCAGGUGGUACCAUAUUGAAUAUUGUUUUUUUUUCUUUGAACUUAUGGUCUUUAAUUAUGUUUCGAAAAGUAAUUGCUCAGAAAUGCAGAAAGAUAAUUCAAUUCAUAACCAUAUUUGUUAAGGUUAACUUAAACCUCCACCAUUGUUGUACAGAGGAGGAUUUUGUGUUUAUGCUUCCUCUAUUGAAAAAUUCCUAGGGCAUGCAUCUUUAGGGUUUGUCUGACUGAUCAAAUUGUUAAUUUGUUUUAAUUCCCAACUCUUAGUUAUUCUCAAUACAAGGGGUCUUUGCCCUCAGCAAAGAAAACCCUUCUUGUUAAAUGAAAUAGCCCACUUUCAUGCGAAACACAUCUCUCACUGAUAGAUUACGGGAAUCAAGCAUCUAGAAAGUCUUUCCAUAUGCUGUUGCAUGGAUUUGCUUUGCGUUAUUUUUAUUUUGGCAGGAUACCUUACCAUGUUGUGAGCUGGGUCAAUCGUGGCUUCAUGGAGUUUAGUUGGUUGCAUAAUCUAUAUUCUUCCUCUAUGCUUUUAUUUUUAUUUCACAUGAAUGUAUAAAAAAAUACGGGUAAAGAACUUUUGUGAUGAAUAUAACUUGGUGAUAUUGUAUGCCAAUCUGCAGGUGAACAGAACCUUGCAGUUACCUAGCUUUUAGAGAAGAAGUGGUUGGAUUUCUGAUGCAUAAGUGGGUUUACUUAUACUCUGAGUCAUUGGGGUUCAUUAGAUCACCUUUGCAUUUAGAUUUGGACAAGAAGAGUUCAUAUAUAAUUUAUCAUAGAACUGAAGCUUCAGUUCUUUCAUCAUGCUCUCAUUCUUAAAAUUUUUGCACGUUUUAGCUAAGCUAGUCCAUAUUUGUGAUUGCCUCUUAGGGGGGUAUUGAAGACAAUGAGGAGCCUAGAUCUGCAGCCAUAAGGGAACUACGAGAAGAAACUGGGAUAAUCUCUGCUGAAAUUAUUGCUGAGGUACCAAAUUGGUUGACUUAUGACUUUCCACCUGCUGUGAAGGCCAAAGUGAAUCGUCUGUGGGGAGGUGAAUGGCAUGGGCAGGCACAGAAGUGGUGCGUCUCUCUCUGUCACACACACUCACACGCACGCGCACACACACACAGAUACGCUACAAGCACACAUUGAUUCCAUGAAAGUAUAUUACAUUUUGUCUAACAUAGUGUAAUUAUACAUACAUACAAUAUGACUGUCUACUUCAUAGCCAUGAAUGCGCCAUCUGUGUUUAGACUUAAGACCCGCCUUCUGUGUCAUUCUCUUAAUCCCACUCUUCUGAUCCUAAUCUGACCCCUUUCAAUUCCACUAGAAGCUGCACAUAAGAAUGAUAGAUAUGCACUCCUUGUAUGUGCUGAAUCACCUGGGACUGGCAUGUUGCCCUAUUAAAUGUUUUUUUUUUUUAAAUGACACCAGAAUUUUGCUGCAGAAAAAAGUAGAACUAGUAGUUGAAUUUAGUUAGUAAUGAAGGAAUUGGAUAAAUUUAUGAUUUAUGGAUUUGUGACUUGAAGUUUGUUUCCAUUAAUUGAGUAUAAAAACUAUGCAAAUUGAGCUAUCAAUUCAAUUCAAAUCCUUGUAGAACAUAUAUGCUAACAAAUAUUUUUCCGCUAGGCAAAUUGCACUAGCAGUUGAUUUUGCUUGGUAUUAUGCAUGUAACUAAUCCCAAGAAGGAUGUUCAAGUGACACUUAAAAUAUUAAUAUUUGAGAAUUUCUGGCGGCAUUUUUGAAGUUUGAUCCAAUUUAAGAUUCACAGUGAUUAACUUGGCUGCUUUUAUCUCAGUGAUUUUUGCUUCAUCCGUUUAUAGUGCCAGAGGGUUGUUGUGGACUUGCAAAAUAGACAUAGAAGUUGGAGUUAGCCGGCAUCAAAUUAACACAAAUGCAACUAGCACAUCAAUUAGUUGUUGCAGAAUAUUUGAAUUUUCUGUUUUAGAAGGGGAAAAUUUAAAAAAUUAUUAUAUUCUGUCACUUCCAUUAUAUAAUUUGAGGGGUGAAAAUGAGUUCUCUGGACAAUUGAUAGGUUUCUCAUGAGAUUGACAAAAGAUGAGAGUGAGAUUAACCUGGCAAAUGGCGAAGCAGAUCCAGAAUUUGCAGAAUGGAAAUGGACGAGCCCCGAAGAAGUUGUUGAGCAGGCAGUGGACUACAAGAGGCCAACAUAUGAGGAAGUUGUGAGAACCUUCAGGCCUUACUUCAAUGAGAAGGGAAUUACGAGUAAAUGUAAAUCAUCAAAGUGGUGAAUGGGUGUGGGUGUGCUUUUGUAGGUUUCUCCUUGUUUCUUAUAGUAGUGAAUCUGGGCUUAUUACAACUUUUUCUGUAAAUGGAUGUGGCAGUUGGAAUUUCAAUUUAGAUGGUAGUUGCUUAAUUGUAAUAAAAAUACGUGCAAUCAUAUAUAUUUCAUGGUUUUGUGCAAGUCCCUACAUACUUGGACGUUGGAGAGUUUAUCUUUAGAAGGGGAAAAUUUGAGAAAAAUGAACAGAACUAGACAGGAAAAAGUGCAGCUAUUAUAAGCUCAUCUCCUAGAGAGCAAUAUUUAUAAUUGUUAGAUUAAAUAUUUGUAUAUAGGG
rnacentral:misc_RNA from 1 species